UAGCGAUCUCCAGCCGUGUGCGUUCCUGCGCAAAUAACCACACGCCUGUCCGCCCCUCCCACACUUGUUAAGUAUGCCUACUGCUGUACUGUUGAGCUGCUGUUAACUUUCAUUAAAGUAUAUCCGGACCUCA